GCCGUGUCCCGGUGGUGUCCCCGGGGCUGUGCGCCGUGUUUGCCAUCUCAAAGUCCGGGGUCAGCGCACGGGGCCCCGCUGUGCUCUCUGCGCCGCGCUCUUCACCCAUUGAGGCCGCGGGUGGGUGCGCGGCGGGGUCCCCCCCCCGCCCCUCUCUGUCCUUAUCCAUGACCUUGGGCCCCUGCGCACGGGGUGGGGGGCUCGGGGGUACCUCCCCACAGCCGGGCGCCGCCGCUCCGCGAAGGGGCUGGAGGGGUUCGGGGAUCCCCCACCCCUCGAGGGCAGCGGGGACGGCCGGGCACCCCCACCUCCCCCCCGGGCAGGGGGUCCGCGCUCGCCCCGUUGGGGGCAGCCAUGCGUGGCGGCUUUGUCCUGCGGCUGAGCCGAGCGGCGAGGGGGGGGCGGCGGGCGCAGCCGGCGCGGUGCCUUUGUCUGGGGACGGCAGUGGUGGCGGCGGAGGGGCGCGGGGACCCCGGGCACCCACCGCGAUUGGCACAGGAAGGAUUUAAUGAGGCCUCUUUGCGCCGCCGUCAAUGUGAGCUGUGAGCGACACAACCGCAGCGUGUGAUGGCUCCUGAAAUACUGCCCAGGAUCCAUCCGGGGGGGGCCUUGGGGGGGGGGCACCCUGACCCCCUCUGGGGAGCCCCCAAAACCCCGCAGAGCCCCCCGCUGCCUCCCACCCCCCCCUCCCCCCAACCAUCUCCUCCCAACCGAAUAUUAAAAGGAAAUUGGAGCUCAUUUCCCGGCCGUAAAUUUGGCAGAAUGGUGAGAAAAUGAUCCGGCCCUGGAGGGGAGCCAGGGCCCCGCACAGCAGCUGCACCCCGAGCCCUGAGCCCCGUGGGCAGCCACAACGCAGCGCUGCGGUGUGACCCUAUGGAGAGGGGGGCUCCCCACGUCGCUGCAAUGAGGGUGGGGGGCCUGAAAUCCGGGCAGCUGCAAACUCCUGCAGGGAAAAGAGGGGUCCCCUUGGGUACCCCCCGAGGUGCCCGUGUGGAGGCCCUGCAGCCGUUGCCCUGGGGGGGGGCUGCGGUGCUGGAGGCAGU
ensembl:lncRNA